UGUGAACCUGGGAGGCAGAGCUUGCAGUGAGCCAAGAUCGCGCCACUGCACUCCAGCCUGGGCGACAGAGCAAGAAUCCAUCUCAAAAAAAAAAAAAAAAAAAAAAGGAAGCAAUGUAAUAAGGUAAUUCUUAAGACACUUGUUUUUUAUCAUCUAUUCCCACAGGCAGUCACACACAUACAGGGCAUACUAACCAAAUGUCACCCUGAAGAUUCAGGGUGGAGGAAUUACUCAGCACAGUGGAGGAGUUAGAAAAUAAGUUGCUGGUGAGAUCAAUUUUGAUCGAAGAGAAUGAGAUGAGAAAAAAUUGAAUAACAGAUGACUAUCCUCUCCCUCUGCUCUGCGAGCUGGAGUCUACCUGCCAGCUUUUCUAUGUACCAACGGGGCAGGAGAAAUGAGGGCUCACCUCCCUCUUCUUCCAUCAUGGAAGUUGGCUCCCCAAGCUCAAGUGUGCCUCCUGUGAGUUCCAGCAAGCAGU
rnacentral:lncRNA from 1 species